rnacentral:tRNA from 1 species
AAUUUAUUAGUUUAAACAAAACAUUACAUUUUCAAUGUAAAAAUAAAUUCCUUAUUUAUAAAUUA